rnacentral:rRNA from 1 species
AUUGAACGCUGGUGGAAUGCUUUACACAUGCAAGUCGAACGGUAGAGGGGGCAACCCCUCGAGAGUGGCGAACGGGUGAGUAAUAUAUCGGAACGUGCCCAGUCGUGGGGGAUAACGUAGCGAAAGUUACGCUAAUACCGCAUACGAUCUAAGGAUGAAAGCGGGGGAUCGCAAGACCUCGCGCGAUUGGAGCGGCCGAUAUCAGAUUAGGUAGUUGGUGGGGUAAAGGCUCACAAAGCCAACGAUCUGUAGCUGGUCUGAGAGGACGACCAGCCACACUGGAACUGAGACACGGUCCAGACUCCUACGGGAGGCAGCAGUGGGGAAUUUUGGACAAUGGACGAAAGUCUGAUCCAGCCAUUCCGCGUGCAGGAUGAAGGCCCUCGGGUUGUAAACUGCUUUUGUACGGAACGAAAAGGUCUCUCUUAAUACGGGGGACUCAUGACGGUACCGUAAGAAUAAGCACCGGCUAACUACGUGCCAGCCGCCGCCGUAAUAC